GUGCGAGUGGUAUAACGACAAUUAUCCUUGCCUUCCAAGCAAGGGACGAGGGUUUAACUCCCUUCUCGCACACCA
rnacentral:tRNA from 1 species